rnacentral:rRNA from 1 species
CUACGGGACGCUGCAGUGGGGAAUAUUGCACAAUGGGCGCAAGCCUGAUGCAGCCAUGCCGCGUGUAUGAAGAAGGCCUUCGGGUUGUAAAGUACUUUCAGCGGGGAGGAAGGGAGUAAAGUUAAUACCUUUGCUCAUUGACGUUACCCGCAGAAGAAGCACCGGCUAACUCCGUGCCGGCAGCCGCGGUAAUACGGAGGGUGCAAGCGUUAAUCGGAAUUACUGGGCGUAAAGCGCACGCAGGCGGUUUGUUAAGUCAGAUGUGAAAUCCCCGGGUUCAACCUGGGAACUGCAUCUGAUACUGGCAAGCUUGAGUCUCGUAGAGGGGGGUAGAAUUCCAGGUGUAGCGGUGAAAUGCGUAGAGAUCUGGAGGAAUACCGGUGGCGAAGGCGGCCCCCUGGACGAAGACUGACGCUCAGGUGCGAAAGCGUGGGGAGCAAACAGGAUUAGAUACCCGCGUAGUC